rnacentral:rRNA from 1 species
UACGAAGGGGGCUAGCGUUGUUCGGAAUUACUGGGCGUAAAGCGCACGUAGGCGGAUAUUUAAGUCAGGGGUGAAAUCCCGGGGCUCAACCCCGGAACUGCCUUUGAUACUGGGUAUCUCGAGUCCGAGAGAGGUGAGUGGAAUUCCGAGUGUAGAGGUGAAAUUCGUAGAUAUUCGGAGGAACACCAGUGGCGAAGGCGGCUCACUGGCUCGGUACUGACGCUGAGGUGCGAAAGCGUGGGGAGCAAACGGGG